GCCACGGUAGCUCAGCAGGCAGAGCGCGUGCUUGGUAAGCACGAGGUCCCGGGUUCAAAUCCCGGCCGUGGCU
rnacentral:tRNA from 1 species